rnacentral:tRNA from 1 species
GCUCCCGUAGCUCAGUUGGUUAGAGCGUGAUGCUUAUAUGGUUCCACCAUGUCGAACUCAAGAUACGUUGAGGCCACCGGUUCGAGCCCGGUCGGGAGCA